rnacentral:rRNA from 1 species
AUGUACUGCAACGAAGGUAUUGCAAACCCUACACUACGACACUCUGGAUCUCUAUUGUUGUCUCAUUUAUUUCUUGUUAAUGAAUUGAAGGUGAUUCUUCAACAAAUCCCCGUAGGAUCCGAUAAUGACAUAUUGCAUGAUGAUGACGAAGCGAGCAAGUCUACCGAUAAACUUAGCGAGAUUGAUCCAUUUGACACUGUCUACUCAAACAUUCCAGACAACACUCAUGUCCUGAAACUUGACGAAAAUUGCAAACACUGUAAGGCCAGGAAGUUUGAGUCUGAGACUGACGGAUUCUGCUGUCGCAAUGGACAGAUCUAGCUUAAGCAACCGGAACCAAUCCCAGAGCUUAUGAGGCUAUGGUCCAGCAUGGAUGCAGAUUCGAGACAUUUUCGGGAGAACAUAUGGUUCUUCAACGGGCAUUUCCUUCACAACCCUUGGCGUCAGCCUUGA